CGGCGCGCUUACACAUGCAAGUCGAGCGAUGAAACUUUAACAGAACCCUUCGGGGCGAAGAUAAAGUGGAUUAGCGGCGGACGGGUGAGUAACACGUGAGUAACCUGCCUUAGACAUUGGGAUAGCCUCGGGAAACCGGGAUUAAUACCAAAUAAAAUCAUAAUGACACAUGUCAUAACGAUCAAAACUCCGGUGGUCUAAGAUGGACUCGCGUCCCAUUAGCUAGUUGGUAGAGUAAAAGCCUACCAAGGCGACGAUGGGUAGCCGGCCUGAGAGGGUGAACGGCCACAUUGGAACUGAGAAACGGUCCAAACUCCUACGGGAGGCAGCAGUGGGGAAUAUUGCACAAUGGAGGGAACUCUGAUGCAGCGACGCCGCGUGAACGAAGAAGGCUUUCGAGUCGUAAAGUUCUUUUAUAUGGGAAGAUAAUGACGGUACCAUAAGAAAAAGCCCCGGCUAACUACGUGCCAGCAGCCGCGGUAAUACGUAGGGGGCUAGCGUUGUCCGGAAUCACUGGGCGUAAAGGGUUCGCAGGCGGAAAUGCAAGUCAGAUGUAAAAGGCAGUAGCUUAACUACUGUAAGCAUUUGAAACUGCAUAUCUUGAGAAGAGUAGAGGUAAGUGGAAUUUUUAGUGUAGCGGUGAAAUGCGUAGAUAUUAAAAAGAAUACCGGUGGCGAAGGCGACUUACUGGGCUCAUUCUGACGCUGAGGAACGAAAGCGUGGGUAGCAAACAGGAUUA
rnacentral:rRNA from 2 species